AUCUGGGCGCCUGGCUUCCUCCACCUCUCUCAUCUGUCGGCGAGGAGGGGAAACUCUGCCCGGAGCCUCCUGGAGUCCUCUGGAGGAACAGAGUUUGGCUGUCCCUUCACUUGAGUUACUGCUGGAAAUCUUCCCAUACCCAACAGUGAAAGUUAAUUGCCUGGUGGACCUCAAACAGAAACUUACCAAAAGUGAACAAUUCAAAGGAUGGGGAAUUUGGAUAAGAGGCCUGCAGGUUCCCCCAGAUGGCGCUUUCAUGUCCUAUUCUCUCAGUGCAGAGAUUGGCCGGCAACCAGGAAAAGGUUACAGCUAGCAGAGGAAUUCAUGCUUUUGAGGAUCAAAGAAGGCUGUUCCCACCAAAGCGGCAGUGACAGCAGCCGCUCAGAAUGACUCACAUUUUUUCGCACUUUUGAAAAGAGGAUUGCAGCCAAUGGAACAGCUAGAGGAUUGGCCAGCACCCCAACGAGAGAAGGUUAUUGCUGUUUUCUUCCGCUCAUCUGCAUCUGAUUCCAGGAACUUUUCCUAGCCUUACAUAAUAUUGUCCCCCCACCUCUGCAAGAACGUUUUGCUAGUACAGUGGUACCUCGGGUUACAUACGCUUCAGGUUACACACGCUUCAGGUUACAGACUCCGCUAACCCAGAAAUAGUGCUUCAGGUUAAGAACUUUGCUUCAGGAUGAGAACAGAAAUCGUGCUCCGGCGGCGCGGCGGCAGCGGGAGGCCCCAUUAGCUAAAGUGGUGCUUCAGGUUAAGAACAGUUUCAGGUUAAGAACAGACCUCCGGAACGAAUUAAGUACUUAACCCGAGGUACCACUGUACAGGCAGGAGAGGAGCUGUGUGAUAUACAGUAUGAAGCAUAGAAUCGUAGAACUGUAGACUUGGGAGGGAUCUGAUGAGCCAUCUAGUCCAACCCACUGCAAUGCAGGAAUCUCAACACAUGGCUCCCCUUCCAGUUUGAAACCCUAUGGGAUCCUGCUUAGCUUUGCAAAUGUGCUAGCAGUUUUAUAGCUAUACAACAGGUGAGAGGGAAGAAAAACUGUGUUUCAGGAAACAUUUCUAGUGGGGCAGAGCCUCCCCAAACGCCCUUCCCUCUUUAGGAACUGCAUUAAGAAAUAGCACUGCCGUUGCCUAGUUAGUUUUUCAAUAGAACAGACUAUUAAGGAAUGCAUAAAUCAGGAGUGGAGGGGGGACCUGUGACCCUCAAGAUUCUGCUGAACUGCUGCUCCUGUUGUACCUUGUCCACGCUUCUGCUUCUCCCGCCACUUCCCCCUGAGUAAACCUGCUCUUUACCGCUGAAUCAGAGCAAACGUCAAUCAGGUUUCCUGUGGGUUUUGACGUUUGCUCUGAUUCGGCAGUAAAGAGCAGGUUUUCCUGGGGAAAGCAGUGGGGGAAAUGGAAAAUCCACUCAGACCUGUGCCUAGAAAGAAUGGGACAAGUGGAAAAUUGCUCAGACCCAUUCUUCCUAGGUGCAUACUCUCCAACAGCUCUCUGAUA